rnacentral:rRNA from 1 species
UCAGGAUGAACGCUGGCGGCGUGCCUAAUACAUGCAAGUCGAACGAGUUCUGAUUAUUGAAAGGUGCUUGCAUCUCGAUUUUAAUUUUGAACGAGUGGCGGACGGGUGAGUAACACGUGGGUAACCUGCCCUUAAGUGGGGGAUAACAUUUGGAAACAGAUGCUAAUACCGCAUAAAUCCAAGAACCGCAUGGUUCUUGGCUGAAAGAUGGCGUAAGCUAUCGCUUUUGGAUGGACCCGCGGCGUAUUAGCUAGUUGGUGAGGUAACGGCUCACCAAGGCAAUGAUACGUAGCCGAACUGAGAGGUUGAUCGGCCACAUUGGGACUGAGACACGGCCCAAACUCCUACGGGAGGCAGCAGUAGGGAAUCUUCCACAAUGGACGCAAGUCUGAUGGAGCAACGCCGCGUGAGUGAAGAAGGCUUUCGGGUCGUAAAACUCUGUUGUUGGAGAAGAAUGGUCGGCAGAGUAACUGUUGUCGGCGUGACGGUAUCCAACCAGAAAGCCACGGCUAACUACGUGCCAGCAGCCGCGGUAAUACGUAGGUGGCAAGCGUUAUCCGGAUUUAUUGGGCGCAAAGCGAGCGCAGGCGGUUUUUUAAGUCUGAUGUGAAAGCCCUCGGCUUAACCGAGGAAGUGCAUCGGAAACUGGGAAACUUGAGUGCAGAAGAGGACAGUGGAACUCCAUGUGUAGCGGUGAAAUGCGUAGAUAUAUGGAAGAACACCAGUGGCGAAGGCGGCUGUCUGGUCUGUAACUGACGCUGAGGCUCGAAAGCAUGGGUAGCGAACAGGAUUAGAUACCCUGGUAGUCCAUGCCGUAAACGAUGAAUGCUAGGUGUUGGAGGGUUUCCGCCCUUCAGUGCCGCAGCUAACGCAUUAAGCAUUCCGCCUGGGGAGUACGACCGCAAGGUUGAAACUCAAAGGAAUUGACGGGGGCCCGCACAAGCGGUGGAGCAUGUGGUUUAAUUCGAAGCAACGCGAAGAACCUUACCAGGUCUUGACAUCUUUUGAUCACCUGAGAGAUCAGGUUUCCCCUUCGGGGGCAAAAUGACAGGUGGUGCAUGGUUGUCGUCAGCUCGUGUCGUGAGAUGUUGGGUUAAGUCCCGCAACGAGCGCAACCCUUAUGACUAGUUGCCAGCAUUUAGUUGGGCACUCUAGUAAGACUGCCGGUGACAAACCGGAGGAAGGUGGGGAUGACGUCAAAUCAUCAUGCCCCUUAUGACCUGGGCUACACACGUGCUACAAUGGAUGGUACAACGAGUUGCGAGACCGCGAGGUCAAGCUAAUCUCUUAAAGCCAUUCUCAGUUCGGACUGUAGGCUGCAACUCGCCUACACGAAGUCGGAAUCGCUAGUAAUCGCGGAUCAGCACGCCGCGGUGAAUACAUUCCCGGGCCUUGUACACACCGCCCGUCACACCAUGAGAGUUUGUAACACCCGAAGCCGGUGGCGUAACCCUUUUAGGGAGCGAGCCGUCUAAGGUGGGACAAAUGAUUAGGGUGAAG